UACGAAGGGGGCAAGCGUUGUCCGGAUUUAUUGGGCGUAAAGAGCGUGUAGGCGGCCAGGUAGGUCGGUUGUGAAAACUGGAGGCUCAACCUUCAGACGUCGACCGAAACCAUCUGGCUAGAGUCCGGGAGAGGAGAGUGGAAUUCCUGGUGUAGCGGUGAAAUGCGCAGAUAUCAGGAAGAACACCCGUGGCGAAAGCGGCUCUCUGGAACGGUACUGACGCUGAGACGCGAAAGCGUGGGGAGCGAACAGG
rnacentral:rRNA from 1 species